UACGGAGUGUGCAAGCGUUACUCGGAAUCACUGGGCAUAAAGCGCGCGUAGGCGGGUUUUCAAGUCGGUUGUGAAAUCCCUCAGCUCAACUGAGGAACUGCAUCCGAUACUGUUUGUCUUGAGGACGAGAGGGGAGAGUGGAACUUCUGGUGGAGCGGUGAAAUGCGUAGAUAUGCGGAGGAACACCGAUGGCGAAGGCAAUCCCCUGGGCCUGUACUGACGCUCAUGCACGAAAGCGUGGGGAGCAAACAGG
rnacentral:rRNA from 1 species